rnacentral:misc_RNA from 1 species
AAAGCUCUCAUCGCUCACUCUACUGUACUUACGCCUCACAAGAUACGCCUUGCGCAAUACAACUCUAAGCCGGUUUGGACUCUGGGGAAGCCGCAACUCUCGGCACAAGUGGCACUGAGACAUGACAAUGUGAUUGUGCUAUAAACAGAUAUACACGAGCCUGAAGGUGUACGGACAGUCUCGCGCCGUUUUUCCGAGCCCCGGAGCAGCCUGCCAACACGCUGUUACCCCCAAUACGCCAGCUACAUUAGCGCAGCAAUACGCUCACGCAGUAAGUCUCCCACCUCCACCAUACUUCUACUACUGUACUGUAGCUACUGUAGCUACACUGAACAACGACCCCCAGCAGUGCACGAAAAAAGGCUACAGUAGCACCACUAUUAUACAGCCACCUUGGACGUUGCAACAUACGAGUUGCGCAGUGCUGAUAAAGCACAUCCAGAAGUCCUUCUCUACAGAUCAGAAACGCCACUUGUUUAGUACAGUACUUGGAGCAUCUCCCUACCUCCAAGCACCCCCACCACUCCUGUCUCCACACACCGGAUAAAUACCAAACCUCCGAGCUCUCUUCGGACUAUAAAUUUCCACCCUGCAUGCGUGAAAGUUUGCUUCAGACGACUAUUAGGACGAUCAAAUAUGGCGUUUCUAGGAUCAAUAACGGCACCAAACGAAUCUGCUGACUCUCAGCUUUCGAUUGAUUGUCUUUUCGUUUCUACCAGACCAUUAUUACCCCUUCUAACGCCCACCCCCACGGAGCACCCCGAACCCUAACGUCUCGCAAUCUGGGUCUAAUCUAUGCAUGAGAAAGUGCCGCCUAAAAAACGCCAAUUUUUUUUCCGAUGUCGAGUUUGAAGGGCGGAGAAAGGCCCAGGCCCGAAAGAACGCGGACCACGUGAGACAUUUUGCUCGUCUUUCUGAGGGUCACGUGACCCGCCCCCGCGGUCGUGUCCCUUCUUCUGAGUCUAUGGAUACACUCCUUCCAUGCGUUUGCAACCGUAUUUCGAGAGUGGGUCGAUGCCAAAGGUGCAUGGGGUGGAGAUCUUUUCGAGCAGAGAAAAAGAAACGACAAGGUUCCCAAAUGAAAUUAAAGGCCGGACCGAGGAGUUGGUGGAAGACGAUGCGUCAGGGUAUUGGACUUUGAAGUGGAGGGGACGGGACGGGAUUGGGGAGACGGGGGACGGCAAGCGGGACUGGUACAAUAUGUGGUGCGAAGAUGGAACGAUCUACACUCCUUCCAGUAUUUGUGUGCACUUUGGUCGCUUGGCUACUACCACAGGUACUCGUACCGUAUGUAGUUGCACUCACACUCAUACCAGCAUUGCCAUAAACUCGGCCUGUACUUUUCACAUUUUCCACGCUAGACUGAGACAUUCAGACUCAACGGCUCAACUUCAACGUUUCAACGGUGUUUUAGACCAUACUAGGGAUUUAUGAAUGAGAGAUAUAGCCGUGGGCUAGACCCAGGGUUGAAGAGGCGUAGUUCUGACAGCUGCAAAAUGUCUGUUCCAACAAUCCAACAUUGCUGUAUAGGGUAAGAAAAGCUAUUGCC